AAAGCCGUAUAUCGUGUAAACUUCAAAUUAAAAAAUUAUUUGAAGAUGGCAUCUGAUUGUAGAUGACGGAACAAACGAGUGUAUGUGACGUCAUCCAACAACAGGCCAGCUCAGCUGAUGUAUCCCUCUGAAAUCAGUGUGAAAUAAGGACCCCGCCGCUCCAAGAAAUGUACAUGAACACGCAAGUUUCGUUUAGAGAACUUGGAAACGCACAACUGACAGAAGACAUUGUUACCUUAAAUGUGGCUAUUGUAAACACAUAUAGCAUGUACAGCAUCCAUUGCACAUAGAUCUAUCGUAAACCGUCAUGUUCCAUUGCGCGACGUGCUUUUCCUGCCAUGUAAUCUUACUGUGGCGUCCUGUAGUAAAUUGCAGGUGUUAUGCAGGUACAACAUUUGUGAUGAAAUAUUCAUGCCUCGGCUGUACGUCAAUAGAUUACAGCAGCUAUUGUAUCUCAUAUUGCAAGGGUCGAACAUGCGCAGGUUGUCGAGUGGAAUGACAUUGAUAUUAACGUGAACAUUACAGAGGCAGAUGGAGCGCAGUGGAACGAGGUAUACAGUUUCCCUGAAAGUUUAUGAACAUUUUGCCUUCAGUAUUUCAUUACAAAUAUAUAACUAAACAA